rnacentral:lncRNA from 1 species
GGGCACCUCAAGACAUGUCACUUUGGAAAGCAGAGGAAGGGGAAGCAGGAGGCAGAUGUGGUGGGCACACGGGGCAGUUUCGACUCAUUUUGAAUGUGACAGCGUGUGUGUAUGUUGAUGGGACAUUGCUGGGAUAGGAGAGAAGAAAGGUGCUAGCAGAGGAGGAGAUGAGAACGGUAUUUCACUGCCCCAGCAAGGCAGGCAGAGCAACUGGAGGUGGGUUUUAUGUGGAGGGUUGAAGCAAUCCCACUUUCAGUGCUUCUGAUUUUCUUAAUUAGAAGUAAAGUGAUCAGCAGAGGGAAGGAGAUGGGUGUUAACGGUUAGAUAAGAGGGGAGAUGGGAAAUAGAGAACUUGUAGAAG